CAAUUGAAGAGUUUGAUCCUGGCUCAGAUUGAACGCUGGCGGCAUGGCUAAAACAUGCAAGUCGAACGAUUAAAGCUUCUUCGGAAGUAUAUAAAGUGGCGUAAGGGCGAGGAAUAUAUUUCUAUGUACCCCUAAGUCAAGGAUAGCCCAGGGAAACUUGGAGUAAUACUUGAUGUGGUCUCCGGAUCAAAGAUUUAUCGCUUAGGGAGCAGGGAAUAUCCUAUCAGGUUGUUGGUGAGGUAACGGCUCACCAAGCCAAAGACGGGUAGCGGGUGUGAGAGCAUGACCCGCCGCAUCGGAACUGAGACACUGUCCGGACUCCUACGGGAGGCUGCAGUAACGAAUAUUCCGCAAUGAGCGAAAGCUUGACGGAGCAAUGCCGCGUGUAGGAUGAAUCUCUUCGGAGUGUAAACUACUGUCAGAGACUAGGAACUCAAUGACCAAUCUCAAAGGAAGGGCCGGCUAACUUCGUGCCAGCAGCCGCGGUAAUACGAAGGGCCCGAGCGUUAUUCGGAAUCACUGGGCUUAAAGCGUACGUAGGCUGGUAUAUAGGCGUCUUGUGAAAUCCCUCGGCUCAACCGAGGAACUGCAAGGCGAACCAUAUAUCUUGAGACAGACAGAGGUCGUCGGAACGAUUGGUGGAGUGGUGAAAUGCGUUGAUAUCAAUCGGAACGCCGAAGGAGAAGUCAGGCGACUGGGUCUGUUCUGACGCUGAGGUACGA
rnacentral:rRNA from 1 species